UACAGAGGGGGCAAGCGUUAUUCGGAAUUAUUGGGCGUAAAGGGCGCGUAGGCGGCGAUUCAAGUGACGGGUGAAAUCCCUCGGCUUAACCGAGGAACUGCCUGUCAGACUGGAUUGCUUGAGGCCGGGAGAGGCGAGUGGAAUUCCCGGUGUAGCGGUGAAAUGCGCAGAUAUCGGGAAGAACACCCGUGGCGAAGGCGGCUCUCUGGGACGGUACUGACGCUGAGACGCGAAAGCGUGGGGAGCGAACAGG
rnacentral:rRNA from 1 species